rnacentral:rRNA from 1 species
AUUGAACGCUGGCGGCAGGCCUAACACAUGCAAGUCGAACGAGUGGCGGACGGGUGAGUAAUGUCUGGGAAACUGCCUGAUGGAGGGGGAUAACUACUGGAAAUGGUAGCUAAUACCGCAUACCAUCAGAUGUGCCCAGAUUGGAUUAGCUAGUUGGUGGGGUAACGGCUCACCAAGGCGACGAUCCCUAGCUGGUCUGAGAGUAUGACCGGCCACACUGGAACUGAGACACGGUCCAGACUCCUACGGGAGGCAGCAGUAGGGAAUAUUGCACAAUGGGCGAAAGCCUGAUGCAGCAAUGCCGCGUGUGUGAAGAAGGCCUUCGGGUUGUAAAGCACUUUCAGCGGGGAAGCGUUACCCGCAGAAGAAGCACCGGCUAACUCCGUGCCAGCAGCCGCGGUAAUUC